CCUAGGGCGGCUGCAGUGGGGAAUAUUGCACAAUGGGCGCAAGCCUGAUGCAGCCAUGCCGCGUGUGUGAAGAAGGCCUUCGGGUUGUAAAGCACUUUCAGCGGGGAGGAAGGCGGUGAGGUUAAUAACCUCAUCGAUUGACGUUACCCGCAGAAGAAGCACCGGCUAACUCCGUGCCAGCAGCCGCAGUAAUACGGAGGGUGCAAGCGUUAAUCGGAAUUACUGGGCGUAAAGCGCACGCAGGCGGUCUGUCAAGUCGGAUGUGAAAUCCCCGGGCUCAACCUGGGAACUGCAUUCGAAACUGGCAGGCUAGAGUCUUGUAGAGGGGGGUAGAAUUCCAGGUGUAGCGGUGAAAUGCGUAGAGAUCUGGAGGAAUACCGGUGGCGAAGGCGGCCCCCUGGACAAAGACUGACGCUCAGGUGCGAAAGCGUGGGGAGCAAACAGGAUUAGAUACCCUGGUAGUC
rnacentral:rRNA from 1 species